AUUUGUUAUUAUCUUAGGGAGCUACCAUUUGAUUUUUAUGGGGGGGGGCUAGGAUGAAAUUUGAAAAAAAUAGGCAGGACAGGAGUUUUGAGUAAAAAAAAAAGGCAGGAUGAGCAACUUGGUAAAAAAAAAAGGCAGGAUGACAAUUUGUAUAAAAAAAAGUCAGGAUAAACUAGUAAAAAAAAAGGCAGGACCAAAUAGAGUAAAAAAUAAAAAGGCAGGACAGGGAUUACAACUAAAAAAAAAAAAGCAGGACAAAAUUUUUCAUCCUAGCCCCCCCAUAAAAAUCAAAUGGUAGCUCCCU
rnacentral:lncRNA from 1 species